rnacentral:lncRNA from 13 species
AUGACUAACUGGCGUUGGACGAACUUUGCAUUUCUAAUUGUUUUUCAUGUCUUGUCCAUGUCAACAGCAACGGGCAAUACAGACAACACACUUCUGAAUUUACAUGAUGGGAAAAGCUUGGACCAGAGUGUGCUGCACAGUGCUGUCCCUAAGCCCCAACGCUAUGACACCACGGUACCUCUCCUGCUGGAAGGGCGGCAGCGCAAACCACUCAGCCAGCUCAAGUCCAGGAGUCAUCCUGCAUCACUGAAGCUGGUGGUGGAGGCGGAAGGUGAACAACUGGUCCUGGCACUAGAAAAAAACCAGCGACUUGCGACCUGA